GAAUUGGUGGUGUAAUGGCUACCGCUUCUGCUUGAUAAGCAGAAGGCCAUGAGUUCAAUCUCAGACCAGUCCC
rnacentral:tRNA from 1 species